rnacentral:rRNA from 1 species
AUGAACGCUGGCGGCGUGCCUAAUACAUGCAAGUCGAGCGAACAGACGAGGAGCUUGCUCCUCUGACGUUAGCGGCGGACGGGUGAGUAACACGUGGAUAACCUACCUAUAAGACUGGGAUAACUUCGGGAAACCGGAGCUAAUACCGGAUAAUAUAUUGAACCGCAUGGUUCAAUAGGGAAAGACGGUUUUGCUGUCACUUAUAGAUGGAUCCGCGCCGCAUUAGCUAGUUGGUAAGGUAACGGCUUACCAAGGCGACGAUGCGUAGCCGACCUGAGAGGGUGAUCGGCCACACUGGAACUGAGACACGGUCCAGACUCCUACGGGAGGCAGCAGUAGGGAAUCUUCCGCAAUGGGCGAAAGCUUGACGGAGCAACGCCGCGUGAGUGAUGAAGGUCUUCGGAUCGUAAAACUCUGUUAUUAGGGAAGAACAAAUGUGUAAGUAACUAUGCACGUCUUGACGGUACCUAAUCAGAAAGCCACGGCUAACUACGUG